rnacentral:lncRNA from 1 species
CAAAAGGCACAAUUCGGAGUACCUCAAGGAUAAUAGGUGCAUAAAAUUCAGUCACAAACACAUAUAAUCCUCACAUUACAUAAAACUCAGUCCUGGAACAUAGCCAGACUAGUAUUAAACAGCUAAAUUUGACCAAACACAGGUAAGGCAACUUCCACAGCCACAACCGCAUAACAAAUCAGGAAUCACUGGGACAAUGCCAUCAUCCCUCAGAGUUUCGCUGCCUGGAUGUCAGAUGAUGCUUCCCCUCCCUCCAAGGCGCCUACUUGGAUCGCUGCCUCAUCUUUCGGCGCUUCCUCUUGAGCCUCCUCAUCCUCUUCUUCUUCCACUGCACAUUAAGACGAAAUGCAGAUCAUCAGUACAAAUUGCAUAGUGCUAGAUGCGCAGGAACAUGAGAUAAUUCCACAUGAAACGAGAAAGUAGUAUGUACUUCAGAAUCAGAAGAUUGAGUGUUUCAUUGGAUAUCAUCACGUGAUUUUCAGAAACACGGACCAAUUGUCCUUCAUCAUUUCCCAAACUGCCAAUUUGGCAUUGCAAAAAGAGAACUAUUCUAAGAAGGUCGUAGCUAUCUACAAACAGGUUAGGCAAAGCAAAGUAGAUCUGCAGUCAGUUUGACAUUCAGAAUGAGUAGGAGGAUUUUAUCAUCAAAUAGAUCAGACGCCAAUUGUCUUCCUCAUCAUGCCAACCGACGCAAUUAUACAAAAUAAAAACAGUGGAAAAUGAGCUAAAGAAAUGGAUAAGCAAACGUUGUUCUCUCAGACAAAUGCCUCGAUUGUCCACACGGUGUAAUAGAAUGGAUUACAUCAGACUCGUCAUCUGUUUUCAUCAUCACAGAGAACAAUGGACAAACGAAAACAGCAAAAAAAAAACAUAAAUCUGGCUAACAUAACUAGAGGCAGUAAUUAGAUCUCAUAGAGCAAGCAAAUCUGGUCGAAAUAGCAGCGGUUCUCUCAGACAAAUUUGCCUCACUUUUGUCCCCACGGUUGAAUGGAAUGGAUUGGAUCGGACAUCUAAUCAGUGUUGAUCAUCACAGAGAACCACUAAUUACGCAAGCGAGCGGUAGCAACGGCGAGAACAAACCCUCGCUAAACACUAGCACAUGUCCAGAUCUACCUCGGUCGCGGAGCAGCUAACAACAGGGAAGGGAGAUGACGGGCAGUACGAACCUUGGCCCUCAUCGCGGCGGCGGAGUCGGUCUCGCUCUCCUGUUCGCGGCGGCGGCGGCGGCGGCGGUGUGUGGACGAACUUAGAUUGUUGACGGCGGGGGCUCUCGCCUCGUACUUAUACGGGCUGGGUGCUGAAGGGGGGGGGAAACCCUAGCGGGGUUGGACGGGUGGACGGCUCGGAUCAGCCAGUGAACGGCGUUCUGAUCCGAUUAGUAAUCUGGUUUGUGGGCCUGUUGGGCCUCCAAACAACGCCUAGGCCCACGCUAACAUUUGACUGGACUUGAUUUCCUGAAGGGGGGAAAAAGAAACUUGACCAGUCUUUACUUUUAUUCUCUUUAUUUUAUAUUACUUUAAAAAGAGUAGUGUUCCUUUUUCUGCCAGACGGAGUGAUUCGUCCAACAUUUUUUUAUAAUCACUAGCAAAAGGCCCGUGUGUUACAACGGGCCAUUGAUAUUUUAGUAUUUCAACACUGAUUGUGCACAUCAAACUGAAAUAUCUCCUUCUAUUGUUAAUUGCUAGUGAAAUAAUCGAGAGGAGAUAAUAUGCCUGAAUAGUGAAGUUGUGAGCAUAGCUUAUUUCUCCUUCUCCUUGACUCAUAUGCAUCAUUUGCUUGGGGGGCAAGCUUGUAGCAGAGUUAAACCCAAAAAAAAGUUGAAUACAAAUCAAGGGAUAUAGCAGCAUUCAACUAAAUUAGUAGUGGAGUAGAGAAGCCCUGGAGCAUAUAAAGUAAAUGAUACCUCUGACAAAGCAGGUUUAAGAAGUGGAUAGUAAGUUUGAAAACAUGAACAAUGCAUAGCAAGCUUUCGUACAUACAAAUUCCCUUGUAUUGAUGAAAACAUAAAUUCACCUAUAAAAAACUAACAAAUUUAGUUUGUAUAUAUACUCUUAGUACACAGUCGAGUCAACACAAACAAUUUGCCUAUGAAAGGAUCAAGUUGGAAUUCCAUUGCUCGAUGGGUGGACGGCUCGGAUCAGCCAGUGGACGGUGUUCUGAUCCGAUUAGUAAUCUGGUUUGUGGGCAUGUUGGGCCUCCAAACAACGCCUAGGCCCAUGCUAACAUUUGACUGGACUUGAUUUCCUGAAGGGGGAAAAAGAAACUUGACCAGUCUUUACUUUUAUUCUCUUUAUUUUAUUACUUAAAAAAGGGAAACGUUUCCUGCGGCGUGCCGGCGGAACGCUUGGCCAGUCGCGUACGCUUCGUUCGAUCGAAAGCGAUCAUGCGGCCCACGUGUGGCCUCACCCCCUCGGCCCCACAUGCUCCCUCUUCCUUAUCCCCAUAUGUUUUCUUUUCCUUAUCCCCUCAAGCACCACUCAUUUUUCUUGCUUAUCCCUCCAUGCCCACCAUUCAUCCCAUGCACCUCUCUCUCCCCCUGGCCUACCUUCAAUCAAUAGCUUGCCGGCGAUGGAAGACGUGUGUGGCGAGCUGGCAGUCCGGGGCUGCACACAUGAAGCCGCGGAGGUGCGUGAGCACGACUCUCGGCGAGCGAAGAGGCGCGACGCCAAAGCUACAUCGGCAACUUGGUAUUUCCACUUUGCAACCUGAUACGACGAGUGGAGGGUGGUUUGCUGCAACCAGUGGCCCCUACUACUACGACCAACGAGGUGGCUGUGCCGUGAAGAUGGACGACGGAUGCGGCGAUUUUUGUGCUGAAACCCACGAUAGCCUCUGCUACAACCGGCCAGCCAUUUUGCUGGAACCAGCAUCGGUAAUUGCUGCCAUCAGUCACGCGAUAUGCUGGAACCAAACGCGCACUCGUCGCCGGCGUUUUUUUUCUUUUGCUAGAGUUGGGUGUUUGAUUUUGCUGGAAGUAGCUAUCCUUUUUGCUACAAAUCGACCACACGAGUUCUCCCUGUUUUGUUGUUUCUGCUGUAUCCAAUGUCUUGUUUUGCUGGAAACAACCAUCUUUUUUGGUACAAAUCGACAACAGGAAUUCUACGUGUUUAGUUGUUUUUCUGCUGCAUCCGAUGUUUCGUUUUGCUGGAACCUAGUAUUUUUUUAUUCAACCGAUCAAUGAAGGAUUGUUGCUUUCAGAUCUUUUUGCUAGAUACUUCAGUGCAAACCGACGCCCACGGCGAGCCGAAACCAGAGCAUGGUGAUGAGCUGGAACCGGCGAGCUUGCUUUGCUGCAAUGAGCCGCAAGCUACUAUGAUCAGCAGGGCGAAGAGCUGGAACGGGCGUCCAUUUUUGCUGGGAUGGGCGCCCAAAUUUGCUGGAACAGGAGUCCCGGGUUGCUGCAUCGUUCGCCGCACAGGGGAGCUACGAUGUUGGCGAGCUGGAACCGGCGCCCAAUUUUGCUGGAGCCGGCAUCUCGACAUGCUGGAACCGUGUGAAGGCAGGCGGCGGCUGAAUGGCUGAUUCGACGCUGAUGGUGUUUUGCUGCGACCAGUGAUGGAAAAGCUUCAACCAUCGGGCGAGUUGUCGAUGGCGUGAGGGGUGACGCCGGGGUGCUGCGGCCGACAACACGGUCGGUGCUGCGCGUUCUACUACAACGAGGAGUCGACCACUAGUUGUUGCAUCCGGCCACGUUGACGCUGCCACCAGCUACAACGAGAAGAUGCCAUGGCGAGCUUCGCCGCCGACGGCCGGCAGCGAAGGUACUCGUGCGGGACGGUGAGCAGAAUUGCGCGCGGCUGCGGCCGCCCGCAAGGGAGAGCCGAUCUGGGCCUUCGUAGACUCUCGUGACAAACGAAACAGCAAGGAGGGACCGGCAGAUGGAGCGGUUAAGGUCACUUCAAUCGAGCGUUGCAUGAGGAACCGGCCGAAAUUUUGGGCCGGUCCGCCGGCGCCUAGUGCUGGCCCUUAAAAAAAAGUAGCGUUCCUUUUUCUGCCAGACGGAGUGAUUUGUCCAACAUGUUUUUCUUGGGAACCGCCUUAAUCAUCUCAUCUUUUUGGUUCAAAAAAAUCGUCUCAUCUUUUAUUGACUUAUCAAAUAAAUUAUAUUUUCUUUCAUAAGUCAAAAUAAGUGAUUACAAAAUAAAAUCAUGGGUAAGAUUUGUUAAGUAUUUUUUUACACAAUCACAUAACAUAAAGAUGUAAAUUAUGGGAUAAUGUAUUGUAAUAUAAUAUAUAAUAUUUAUGCCCCAUAGCGACACGGGCAAAUAUCUAGUUCUGCUAGCAAAAAGACUAAUUACAAAACAAUAAAACUGAGCUAGCUACACGCCACCACAGCGAUUCACCGCUUUUGGCCGUCCGAUCAUUUGUUAGACGCCCCAGAUCUUCCAAUUGUCCACUGGCGGUCGCUUGGUCAUUUUCACCGUGCCUCACCCAAUGUAAAAGGGCUGCUGCUCCGGAAAGCAACCUGUGGGUCAUGUAGUUAAUUGGGCCCAGAAGCAGCCCAAUUGGUUGUGUACGUCAGCCCAUGCUAGGUUUCCUUUCCACAUCGACAGAGAAAAGAAAAGAACAAUUCAUCCUUCUCCUCUUGUUCAUACCCACGGUGCAGGGUGUCUAAUUUCUCAUGUUCCUUUCGUGCUAGGAAGCUCGUGGGGAUUGACCAACUGUCAGUUUGUUGGAGUUUGAUCUGUCCCGAUGGGCGACAAACAUAUAGCUGACUGAAGGCACGAGUAUGGCCUAUGGACUAAAGGAUUUGUUCCUUUCCCUCGGUGGCAACAUCCUAUAUGGCAGUACCUUUUCGCCUCCUUUUACCAGCCGUAUAAUUCAGUGAGUCGUUAGUAACUGUUUUGAUUGGUUGUUAGUAUUCCGGCACUGCCUUAUAUAUGGAUAUUCAUUGUUGAUAUGUGUUACAUGGUGUGAUCCCGAUCGACUCCAAUAUGGACACCCAGGCACCACACCCAGGCUCAUGCAAAUGCUCAAAACAGCCCGGUAACGCCACCACUUGUUGAUCAAAACGUUGUCCUUCUGAGUACUGAUUAGGAUUACAUGCAACCUUCUUGCUGGAAAUACGCUUCUGAAAAAAGAUGCUAAGCUGGCCUGAUAAGAUUGGCAUUAGGCUUUUGCCGUAGGAUCCUGGAACUCUGAAUUCUAGGAACAGCACCUACCAGGUUACCUGAUGUAAUCCGUAUCCUUGCAUGAGGUUUGGAGUACGUGGUUUUUCAAUUUUUGUUGGACAGUUUUAGUCGAGUUAGGUGUGUUCAAGGAUUAGCUUUGGUUUUCCCAUUUUACUCGCUAAGAAAGGUAACUGAAAUUUUGUUUCUGCUCAAUUUCAUUAGGUUGCAAGAAAAUGACUGGUUGAAAUUGCUUUCCUAAACAAAGUAAUAGAUGUACAAUAUUGAUCAACAAAUGGGCAACAAGUCAACAACGACCCAGUAGAAAUUUUAUUGUGCUGAAUAGGGCCAAGUAUAUUAUCAAACCAUUGUUGGUAAGAGGAUAAUUUACUAUGAUUCAGUUGGCAAAGAGGCUCUGAUCUGCAGUUUAAAUGACGAAGAAAUACUGGAACAUGGGGAAGAGAAGCAUGUUUCACAAAAGAAGAAGAUCCGCUAAUAUGGUAAUAAUACAUCCUAGUUAAAUAGAUUGGUUUUUCUGUAUUACGUGCUCUUCUGUCGUGAACUGCAAUUGAUUACCACAACAUGCUAUGUUUUCAUCCGUUCAAGUCUGAAGAAUGGGUACUAUCUAUCAGUCUAUAUGUUUGAAUUUUUUUUCUAAUAUCUCUACUCCUAAUGAAGCAGUUGGUAGCCUGGUACUCCGGUUUUAUUUUCGUCCGGUUUUAUUUCGUCCCACCUCCCACCACUCCGUACUACUGGUUUUUUAUCUAUCUACAAAUCUCCCCUCCCACUGGUUUAAGCCGGUUAUCAAUUUUUGGUAAUGCAAUAAAAGUCAUACGGGAAUAAAUCAUAUCACGGUCGGCAGUUAAUCUCAAACCUGCCAAGAGAUUUGGUAACAGAAUAAAUUCAAAAGGAAGGGUGGGGGAAUGUUCCUAUACAUAAGGAUGGUAAUCUCCAUCGCAUACCAUUUACUCCAGAAUCAAUCGCAUUAAUAAUCUCCAUCGCAUAAAUAAUUACUCCAAAAUCAAUCACAAUCAUAAUCUACAUCGCAUAAUUAACUUCUUCCUAUGACCACCUCGCUCCACCAAUCCCACCUGCCGUUUUCUACCAUCACGAUCGAUUUUCUCGCGUCCUCUCCUACACGCACAAAAAUAUAGGCCCAGCCUCGACCGUGGGCUGGGACUCAUCCGUCGCGCACCGCCUGCUCUGCAACGACGCCCAACGCAACCUCUUCUUUGAUGCCCCCGCGCACCCCUCGCCGCCGCCACCAACGCCCUGCGCGUUCGCCUCUACGGCCUUGAUGAUUGCACCCGCUUUCGUGACGUCCUCGCGCUCAAGCGCCGCCGGCGCAUCCACGCCUGCGUCAGCCAUGCCGAGGAGGUUGAGGAGCCCCUCGAGCCGGCCCUUGCCCUCGCCUGCGUCAACGACCCCGCCCAUCUUGGCGGGGGCGAUUCCCCCAUCGCCCGACUCAUCUCCGACGAGUAUGGCAUCGGUGGGUACGCCGCGUCGUUCGUAUGCUUGGCAGGUUCCAGAACACCCCGCGACGUGUAUGAGGCUGCUAAGCUUGACCAUGGCGAGGGGCUCGUGCUCGAGCUCGACGAGACGCAAUUCGAUCUCGGAACCAACUACGAGCUGGAUGGUGAGACUGCAGAGCAGGCAGGGGGCGCGACGAAGAUGGAAGUGGCGGCAGUUCAAGCUUGUCGCUGCCGAAGACCCUAGAGAGGUGCGUGAAGAGACCUGGUUAGUUUUGUUGGGCCCCACUGGUAGAUGCUCCAUGUCUCCUCCUCUGGUUCCUUGUGCAUUAUUGGGUUGUCUUAAUUUUCAGUCAGGAACACGUAGCCGUGAAUUUUUUUGAUUAAUAUUGAUGUCAUCGUUACAUAUUGGUACCGGGUAGAUUUGAUGUAUUAUUGUUAAGCUCUCAAGACCAGGCCUGGUUUUACAGAUGUUUAGCGCACCGGUUCCUGUUCAUUUACAACACAGCCAUGCGAUCUAUUAAGUGAUGUUUCUCUGAAUUUAUGACAGGUAAACUGCGGUAAUAACAAAUCAGAUGUCAUCUCUCAUCUUGCCGAUUCAACCUUGGAAGAUAUGGUAGAGACGAGAGGCGGUUUGGUCCAUCUGGUGGAAGGGGGAGUGGAGAUAGUAGGAGUGGAAAGCAACUCAGUCCAUCCUGGCGGAAGGGAUAUAUAUAGGCUGACAUGUCAUCGGUGCUGGGCACCACAGGCAAGUGCUGUUUAGUUGAGUCCCAAUCACGAAUUAGAAAAAAAUUCUUUGGGUUCUUGGAUAGAUGCUUAUGGUUUGUUGCGUCAUUUUUCAGGUUCAAUAUGCUGGCUGGCGCCGAGCCUCACUACUGAGUUGAAGAACUACUUGCAACGGUUGCCAAAAGUUGUGUUAAAAAAAUAGGCCCACCUUCAUAAGGAUGAUGUAAAUUGCAGCCAUACUCAGGUUUAUUCUUUGUUCCCUGCAUAUUUUUAUUUAACCACGUUAUGUUUUAGCCACUAGAUGGAAAAUAGAAAAAGGAAACGGAGAGAAUCACUUAUUUUCGUGAUAUGAUAUUUAUUUAAUAGUGAUUGCUAUUUGUUUUGAAUAUUUAAGCAUAAGGAUACCACAAUUAAAUUAUGGUUACAACACGAAAGUUGUAGAGUAGUUAAUCUCUAUCUCUACUCCUAAAGGGGGAGUUGGUAGCCCGGUGCGCAGGUUUAUUUUCGCCUCACCGAUUUAUUCUCCCUCACCUCCCAGCAUCCCCUCCACGCUGGGUUUUCUCCGUCCGACUAAAAACCAAAUCAAUUUGCAUGAUCCUCCUUGUUUGUUUUUCGGCUAAUGUCCUCCUAUCCUAGAGCAUGUUCAUCUGACUAAUCUUCUUAGUUAAUGCCCUCCUUGCCUGGAUCAUGUUCAUCCGAUUGACAAAGGCUUGGCCAUCUUGUAAUAGUAGAUGGUGAAGUGGAUAUAUAUACUACUCCCUCCGUCCGAAAAUACUUGUCAUCAAAAUGAAUAUAAAGGGAUGUAUCUAGAACUAAAAUAUGUUUAGAUACAUCUCUUUUUAUCCAUUUUGAUAACAAGUAUUUCCGGACAGAGGGAGUGCUUCAGUUUGCAUGAGAACAACCGCUUAUAUGUGUGCCUCAAUAGUAAAGUAGGAUUGCUUGGAUUAUUUUCUGUAGUAUUUUUUCCAGUUUUAAAUGUUUAGUUUCUUAACUUAUUAUGAGGCUUGCAUCGAUCAAAGAAAUCAUGCUCCCUUGGCUUAAUCAAAUGUACUUAUGUUUGCUAAUUUAUUUUUAGUGUGUGUUUCCUCCUACUAUCUUAUUAUUCUAUAGCUAACUAUAUUUUGGAAUCUGGUGGGUGCAAAGAAAAUGGCAGUUUCUAGAUUUCUGUAGUAUUUCUGGGUAACAACAGGUUCCAAAGUGACGGGCAUUGCUAAAUCAGAUAACAUACUAUUCAAAAAGAGAACACAUUCAUCCCUUCAUUUUAGAGAUUCAAUAAAGCAAGCAAAACUUGGAAUCCAAGUCAGAAUACCAACUAUUGUACUACUGAAUGCACAUUUAUUUGCCGACAUGAAACUAUCUAUCACAUGUAGGUGUGUUUGCUCCUCGGAGCAUAGCAAAAUGAUAUGCUCUUACAUAAACAUUAUCUUGCUUACAGUGUUAAUUCAAAGCCUUAAUUCAAGGUCGGAUCUUGCUUACAAUGUCAAUAUAAUCGCUUUUAAUCUCUUUCAAGAUUAAUAAACUGCACAUGCAUGGCACGCAAAUAGGACAAACUUGACUAGAUCUACACAUAUAUUUUUAUCACUUCUAAUAUCUCAUCGACUGUUUACAUGCCAUAUUGCAUACCAAGAAUACAAGAGUGCUGACUUUAUUUUAUUUUAUUUUAUUUUAUUUUAUUUUAUUUCUGAAAUAGUUCCCAAUUAGGCUUACAAUUAUUUUAUAUUAGUGUUACUUCCUUUGUCAAGCUUAUGAAGAAUGUAUUUCCUUGAACAGUAUUUCAUCCAUUUGGAUUUAGGUGACAUGUGUGGUGGCACGAGAAAAUGGAAGGCCCUAAGCUGAAGGAGAGCAUCAAUUGACAUGAGUGAUAAGCAAUAUCUAUUAGAAACACAUACUAUCAGGCUAAUGCAAACCACUUGGGUAUGAAGUAUACUUACCACAACUUUCUAGGUGUUGAUCAACUUGUGUUUUCUUGUUAGUAAAAGAAACAUGUUGUUUUUUUGUGGUUCAUGGAUUCAUGCUCAAUGUUGAAUUAUUAUCUGAUCUGCAGAAGCAUGUCUUACUGCUGCUCAAGGUCACAUGAUUUAUAAUUUAUAACUACAAUUAUUUAAAUCAGUAUCUUGCACGAAGUCCUGACAUCUGGCUUUAUCAAAGAUUCCACUAUGUUUAUUUCUCCAUCAUAUCGCACAAUGAAUAAUAACAGUAGAUAGAUAUCCCCUUUUUAUGCAAUGAAUUUCAUGAAAUAAAACAGCGUCCAUCACCGUCUCUGAUGUAAUCUUAAGUGCACAUGCAUGGCUUAAUGUCACUGCUAUCUCGUAGUUUCACAUGCUAUUCAAGUUUACGGCAUACAGUACUUAACAUAUAAGUUGUGUCAUAGUAUUAGUGUCAUCUUUGGCUGCUUCCUUUCUUGAAUUUUCCGAUGACAGUGUACAUGCCUUAACAUAUUCGAAGUUGUUGAUUUUUUUGUUGCAAAUAUAAUAUUUAGUAAUUUAACGUGAGCCCUUGCAGGUCCAAUUAAAGCUAUUUGACCAGAAGCUAGGUGAUAUGUGCUCAAAAGAAUCUACCCUGUUAUGCACCAGUUUUUUGCCUUAACAUUGUUUCUGCAAUUACACUAUAUAUCUUGUAUUAACUGGAUUUUUAAGAUGACGAUUAAGGAAUUCAUCUACAAUUAGGAACUUACUUCGCGACAAGGAAGGUCCAGUGGUUGGGCAACAACAUGUGGAAGGAUAAUUACUGGAUACAUUUUUUUAGCGAACAACAGCGGAGCGAUUUGAUGUCUCAAAACAUGUAAGCUGACUUGCCCUCCAUGGAAUGGAAUGACUACAAAAACUUUUGUCAUUUCAUCUAAGAAUAUUUUAAAUUAGUUAAUAAAUCAUACAGACUUGAUAUUUUCUUGGUCUCAUGCAACUAUGUGUGGUUUCUUACUUUACUCCACAAUCAUCUGUGGCAAUUAUGAGGUAUUUUUCGCCAUUCGUAUUUAUUCCUUAAUUUUACUAUGAAUAUAUGAGAGUACACACCAAGGGGUUCGCAAAAAGUACAAAAAAACUAGGAGACAAGCACGAGUCACCUUAUGAGGUGAUGAUGUAGGAGACACAAUGAGGUGAAAGAGACGUGAUGGACAUAGAAGAGUAAACCCACGAGGAUAAAGAGAUGUCAUGCACAUAGAAGGAGGAAGCGAGGACCUCGAUCCACAUUAUCAAAGACAUAGAUAAGAACAAGAGUAUCACACUUCCCACAUCGACCAACUAAUGACACAUGUUGCUAUUGGGGCAUAUCACCCUCCCUUGCAUUAUACAUAUUAAUAUUAAGAUGAAACACUUCGUUGAAUGCAUUUCUAUUAUAUUGUUCUAUGGCAACACCCGAGCAUUCUGCUAGAAAGGAUGCUCGGGUGUAGACAGAAUCAUAUAUUAUAUCAUUAUUAGUAUCAACAUGUUUCUAAAUGUUUUCAUACUCAGUAUAUGAUGUUAGAUUCAACAUGAGAUCUAAAGUUUUGUGUGAAGCCAAAUAUGCAGGUGUUAGCAAUACUGUUUGAUAGCUUGGGGGUACGAUGUGGCAAACGCGCAACGGCUGGCUAGCUGUGUUGGAGAGCAAGAGAUGUCCAGCGAGAAACAUCCCACUACAUGUUGGGGAAUGUAGUAAUUUCAAAAAAUUUCCUACGCACACGCAAGAUCAUGGUGAUGCAUAGCAACGAGAAGGGAGAGUGUUGUCUACGUACCCACGCAGACCGACUGCGGAAGCAUUGACACAACAUAGAGGAAGUAGUCGUACGUCUUCCCGAUCCGACCGAUCCAAGCACCGUUACUCCGGCACCUCCGAGUUCUUAGCACACGUACAGCUCGAUGACGAUCCCCGGGCUCCGAUCCAGCAAAGCGUCGGGGAAGAGUUCCGUCAGCACGACGGCGUGGUGAUGAUCUUGAUGUUCUACCGACGCAGGGCUUCGCCUAAGCACUACAACGAUAUGAUCGAGGUGGAAUAUGGUGGCAGGGGGCACCGCACACGGCUAAGAAAUGAUCUCAAGGAUCAACUUGUGUGUCUAGAGGUGCCCCCCUGCCCCUGUAUAUAAAGGAGCCAAGGAGGAGGGGCUGGCUGGCCAAGGAGGGUGCGCCAGGAGAGUCCUACUCCCUCUGGGAAUAGGAUUCCCCCCCAAUCCUAGUUGGAAUAGGAUUCCUUAAGGGGGGGAAAGGAGAGGGGGGGCCGGCCACCUCUUCUAGUCCUAAUAGGACUAGGGGAGGGGGGAGGCGCGCGGCCACCUUGGGCUGCCCCUUUCUUCUUUCCACUAAAGCCCAUUAAGGCCCAUAUAGCUCCCGGGGGGUUCCGGUAACCUCCCGGUACUCCGGUAAAAUCCUGAUUUCACCCGGAACACUUCCGAUAUCCAAACAUAGGCUUUCAAUAUAUCAAUCUUUAUGUCUCGACCAUUUCAAGACUCCUCGUCAUGUCCGUGAUCACAUUCGGGACUCCGAACUAACUUCGGUACAUCAAAAUGCAUAAACUCAUAAUAACUGUCAUCGUAACGUUAAGCGUGCGGACCCUACAGUUCGAGAAUAAUGUAGACAUGACUGAGACACAUCUCCAGUCAAUAACCAAUAGCGGGACCUGGAUGCCCAUAUUGGCUCCUACAUAUUCUACGAAGAUCUUUAUCGGUCAGACCGCAUAACAACAUACGUUGUUCCCUUUGUCAUCGAUAUGUUACUUGCCCGAGAUUCGAUCGUCGGUAUCCAAUACCUAGUUCAAUCUCGUUACCGGCAAGUCCCUUUACUCGUUCUGUAAUACAUCAUCCCGCAACUAACUCAUUAGUUGCAAUGCUUGCAAGGCUUAUGUGAUGUGCAUUACCGAGAGGGCCCAGAGAUACCUCUCCGACAAUCGGAGUGACAAAUCCUAAUCUCGAAAUACGCCAACCCAACAUCUACCUUUGGAGACACCUGUAGAGCUCCUUUAUAAUCACCCAUUUACGUUGUGACGUUUGGUAGCACAGAAAGUAUUCCUCCGGCAAACGGGAGUUGCAUAAUCUCAUAGUCAUAGGAACAUGUAUAAGUCAUGAAGAAAGCAAUAGCAACAUACUAAACGAUCGGGUGCUAAGCUAAUGGAAUGGGUCAUGUCAAUCAGAUCAUUCAACUAAUGAUGUGACCUCGUUAAUCAAAUAACAACUCUUUGUUCAUGGUUAGCAAACAUAACCAUCUUUGAUUAACGAGCUAGUCAAGUAGAGGCAUACUAGUGACACUCUGUUUGUCUAUGUAUUCACACAUGUAUUAUGUUUUCGGUUAAUACAAUUCUAGCAUGAAUAAUAAACAUUUAUCAUGAUAUAAGGAAAUAAAUAAUAACUUUAUUAUUGCCUCUAGGGCAUAUUUCCGUCAGUCUCCCACUUGCACUAGAGUCAAUAAUCUAGAUUACACUGUAAUGAUUCUAACACCCAUGGAGUCUUGGUGUUGAUCAUGUUUUGCUCGUGGAAGAGGCUUAGUCAACGAGUCUGCAACAUUCAGAUCUGUAUGUAUCUUGCAAAUCUCUAUGUCUCCCACCUGGACUAGAUUCCGGAUGGAAUUGAAGCGUCUCUUGAUGUGCUUGGUCCUUUUGUGAAAUCUGGAUUCCUUUGCCAAGGCAAUUGCACCAGUAUUGUCACAAAAGAUUUUCAUUGGACCCGAUGCACUAGGUAUGACACCUAGAUCGGAUAUGAACUCCUUCAUCCAGACUCCUUCGUUCGCUGCUUCCGAAGCAGCUAUGUACUCCGCUUCACAUGUAGAUCCCGCUAUGACGCUUUGUUUAGAACUGCACCAACUGACAGCUCCACCGUUUAAUGUAAACACGUAUCCGGUUUGCGAUUUAGAAUCGUCCGGAUUAGUGUCAAAGCUUGCAUCAACGUAACCUUUUACGGUGAGCUCUUUGUCACCUCCAUAUACGAUAAACAUAUCCUUAGUCCUUUUCAGGUAUUUCAGGAUGUUCUUGACCGCUGUCCAGUGAUCCACUCCUAGAUUACUUUGAUACCUUCCUCCUAGACUUAUAGCAAGGCACACAUCAGGUCUGGUACACAGCAUUGCAUACAUGAUAGAGCCUAUGGCUGAAGCAUAGGGAACAUCUUUCAUUUUCUCUCUAUCUUCUGCAGUGGUCGGGCAUUGAGUCUGACUCAACUUCACACCUUGUAACAUAGGCAAGAACCCUUUCUUUGCUUGAUCCAUUUUGAACUUCUUCAAAAUCUUGUCAAGGUAUGUGCUUUGUGAAAGUCCAAUUAAGCGUCUUGAUCUAUCUUUAUAGAUCUUUAUGCCUAAUAUGUAAGCAGCUUCACCGAGGUCUUUCAUUGAAAAACUCUUAUUCAAGUAUCCCUUUAUGCUAUCCAGAAAUUCUAUAUCAUUUCCAAUCAGUAAUAUGUCAUCCACAUAUAAUAUCAGAAAUGCUACAGAGCUCCCACCCACUUUCUUGUAAAUACAGGCUUCUCCGAAAGUCUGUAUAAAACCAAAUGCUUUGAUCACACUAUCAAAGCGUUUAUUCCAACUCCGAGAGGCUUGCACCAGUCCAUAAAUGGAUCGCUGGAGCUUGCACACUUUGUUAGCUCCUUUUGGAUUGACAAAACCUUCCAGUUGCAUCAUAUACAACUCUUCUUCCAGAAAUCCAUUCAGGAAUGCAGUUUUGACAUCCAUCUGCCAAAUUUCAUAAUCAUAAAAUGCGGCAAUUGCUAACAUGAUUCGGACAGACUUAAGCAUCGCUACGGGUGAGAAGGUCUCAUCGUAGUCAACCCCUUGAACUUGUCGAAAACCUUUUGCGACAAGUCGAGCUUUGUAGACAGUAACAUUACCAUCAGCGUCAGUCUUCUUCUUGAAGAUCCAUUUAUUCCCAAUUGCUUGCCGAUCAUCGGGCAAGUCAACCAAAGUCCAUACUUUAUUCUCAUACAUGGAUCCCAUCUCAGAUUUCAUGGCUUCAAGCCACUUUGCGGAAUCUGGGCUUACCAUCGCUUCUUCAUAGUUUGUAGGUUCAUCAUGAUCUAGCAGCAUGAUUUCCAGAACAGGAUUACCGUACCACUCUGGUGCGGAUCUCGCUCUGGUUUAUCUACGAGGUUCAGUAGUAUCUUGUCCUGAAGUUUCAUGAUCAUCAUCAUUAGCUUCCUCACUAAUUGGUAUAGGUGUCGCAGAAACAGUUUUCUGUGAUGUACUACUUUCCAAUAAGGGAGCAGGUACAGUUACCUCGUCAAGUUCUACUUUCCUCCCACUCACUUCUUUCGAGAGAAACUCUUUCUAUAGAAAGGAUCCAUUCUUAGCAACGAAUAUCUUGCCUUCGGAUCUGUGAUAGAAGGUGUACCCAACAGUCUCCUUUGGGUAUCCUAUGAAGACACAUUUCUCCAAUUUGGGUUCGAGCUUAUCAGGUUGAAGCUUUUUCACAUAAGCAUCGCAGCCCCAAACUUUAAGAAACGACAACUUUGGUUUCUUGCCAAACCACAGUUCAUAAGGCGUCGUCUCAACGGAUUUUGAUGGUGCCCUAUUUAACGUGAAUGCGGCCGUCUCUAAAGCAUAACCCCAAAACGAUAGUGGUAAAUCAGUAAGAGACAUCAUAGAUCGCACCAUAUCUAGUAAAGUACGAUUACGACGUUCGGACACACCAUUACGCUGUGGUGUUCCGGGUGGCAUGAGUUGCGAAACUAUUCCACAAUUUUUCAAAUGUACACCAAACUCGUAACUCAAAUAUUCUCCUCCACGAUCAGAUCGUAGAAACUUUAUUUUCUUGUUACGAUGAUUUUCAACUUCACUCUGAAAUUCUUUGAACUUUUCAAAUGUUUCAGACUUGUGUUUCAUCAAGUAGAUAUACCCAUAUCUGCUUAAAUCAUCUGUGAAGGUGAGAAAAUAACGAUAUCCGCCACGAGCCUCAAUAUUCAUCGGACCACAUACAUCGGUAUGUAUGAUUUCCAACAAAUCUGUUGCUCUCUCCAUAGUACCGGAGAACGGUGUUUUAGUCAUCUUGCCUAUGAGGCAUGGUUCGCAAGUACCAAGUGAUUCAUAAUCAAGUGGUUCCAAAAGUCCAUCAGUAUGGAGUUUCUUCAUGCGCUUUAUACCGAUAUGACCUAAAACGGCAGUGCCACAAAUAAGUUGCACUAUCAUUAUCAACUCUGCAUCUUUUGGCUUCAACAUUAUGAAUAUGUGUGUUACUACUAUCGAGAUUCAUCAAAAAUAGACCACUCUUCAAAGGUGCAUGACCAUAAAAGAUAUUACUCAUAUAAAUAGAACAACCAUUAUUCUUUGAUUUAAAUGAAUAACCGUCUCGCAUCAAACAAGAUCCAGAUAUAAUGUUCAUGCUCAAUGCUGGCACCAAAUAACAAUUAUUUAGGUCUAAUAUUAAUCCCGAAGGUAGAUGUAGAGGUAGCGUGCCGACCGCGAUCACAUCGACUUUGGAACCGUUUCCCACGCGCAUCGUCACCUCGUCCUUUGUCAGUGUUUGCUUAAUCCGUAGUCCCUGUUUCGAGUUGCAAAUAUUAGCAACAGAACCAGUAUCAAAUACCCAGGUGCUACUGCAAGCUCUAGUAAGGUACACAUCAAUAACAUAUAUAUCACAUAUACCUUUGUUCACCUUGCCAUCCUUCUUAUCCGCCAAAUACUUGGGGUAGUUCCGCUUCCAGUGACCAGUCUGCUUGCAGUAGAAACACUCAGUUUCAGGCUUAGGUCCAGACUUGGGUUUCUUCUCCUGAGCAGCAACUUGCUUACUGUUCUUCUUGAAGUUCCCCUUCUUCUUCCCUUUACCCUUUUUCUUGAAACUAGUGGUCUUGUUAACCAUCAACACUUGAUGCUCCUUCUUGAUUUCUACCUCCGCAGCUUUCAGCAUUGCGAAGAUCUCGGGAGUAGUCUUGUUCAUCCCUUGCAUAUUAUAGUUCAUCACAAAGCUCUUGUAGCUUGGUGGCAGUGAUUGGAGAAUUCUGUCAAUGAUGCAAUCAUCUGGAAGAUUAACUCCCAUCUGAAUCAAGUGAUUAUUAUACCCAGACAUUUUGAGUAUAUGCUCACUGACAGAACUGUUCUCCUCCAUCUUGCAGCUAUAGAACUUAUUGGAGACUUCAUAUCUCUCAAUCCGGGCAUUUGCUUGAAAUAUUAACUUCAACUCCUGGAACAUCUCAUAUGCUCCAUGACGUUCAAAACGUCGUUGAAGUCCCGAUUCUAAGCCGUAAAGCAUGGCACACUGAACUAUCGAGUAGUCAUCAGCUUUGCUCUGCCAGACGUUCAUAACAUCAGGUAUUGCUCCAGCAGCAGGCCUGGCACCCAGCGGUGCUUCCAGGACGUAAUUCUUCUGAGCAGCAAUGAGGAUAAUCCUCAAGUUACGGACCCAGUCCGUGUAAUUGCUACCAUCAUCUUUCAACUUUGCUUUCUCAAGGAAUGCAUUAAAAUUCAACGGGACAACAGCACGAGCCAUCUAUCUACAAUCAACAUAAACAAGCAAGAUACUAUCAGGUACUAAGUUCAUGAUAAGUUUAAGUUCAAUUAAUCAAAUUACUUAAGAACUCCCACUUAGAUAGACAUCCCUCUAAUCCUCUAAGUGAUCACGUGAUCCAAAUCAACUAAACCAUAACCGAUCAUCACGUGAGAUGGAGUAGUUUUCAAUGGUGAACAUCGUUAUGUUGAUCAUAUCUACUAUAUGAUUCACGUUAGACCUUUCGGUCUCCGUGUUCCGAGGCCAUAUCUGCAUAUGCUAGGCUCGUCAAGUUUAACCUUAGUAUUCUGCGUGUGCAAAAACUGGCUUGCACCCGUUGUAGAUGGACGUAGAGCUUAUCAUACCCAAUCAUCACGUGGUGUCUGGGCACGACGAACUUUGGCAACGGUGCAUACUCAGGGAGAACACUUCUUGAUAAUUUAGUGAGAGAUCAUCUUAUAAUGCUACCGUCAAUCAAAGCAAGAUAAGAUGCAUAAAAAGAUAAACAUCACAUGCAAUCAAUAUAAGUGAUAUGAUAUGGCCAUCAUCAUCUUGUGCUUGUGAUCUCCAUCUCCGAAGCAUCGUCAUGAUCACCAUCGUCACCGGCGCGACACCUUGAUCUCCAUCGUAGCAUCGUUGUCGUCUCGCCAAUCUUAUGCUUCUACGACUAUCGCUACCGUUUAGUGAUAAAGUAAAGCAUUACAUCGCGAUUGCAUUGCAUACAAUAAAGCGACAACCAUAUGGCUCCUGCCAGUUGCCGAUAACUUGGUUACAAAACAUGAUCAUCUCAUACAAUAAAAUUUAGCAUCAUGUCUUGGCCAUAUCACAUCACAACAUGCCCUGCAAAAACAAGUUAGACGUCCUCUACUUUGUUGUUGCAAGUUUUACGUGGCUGCUACGGGCUUAAGCAAGAACCAAUCUCACCUACGCAUCAAAACCACAACGAUAGUUUGUCAAAUAGACUCCGUUUUAACCUUCGCAAGGACCGGGCGUAGCCACACUCGGUUCAACUAAAGUUGGAGAGACAGUCGCCCGCAAGCCACCUAUGUGCAAAGCACGUCGGGGAAACCGGUCUCGCGUAAGCGUACGCGUAAUGUUGGUCCGGGUCGUCUCGUCCAACAAUACCGUUGAACCAAAGUAUGACAUGGCAGUAUGACUUAUAUCGCCCACAACUCACUUGUGUUCUACUCGUGCAAAUAACAUCAAACCAUAAAACCUAGGCUCGGAUGCCACUAUUGGGGAACAUAGUAAUUUCAAAAAAAUUCCUAUGCACACGCAAGAUCAUGGUGAUGCAUAGCAACGAGAAGGGAGAGUGUUGUCUACGUACCCACGCAGACCGACUGCGGAAGCAUUGACACAACAUAGAGGAAGUAGUCGUACGUCUUCCCGAUCCGACCGAUCCAAGCACCGUUACUCCGGCACCUCCGAGUUCUUAGCACACGUACAGCUCGAUGACGAUUCCCGGGCUCCGAUCCAGCAAAGCGUCGGGGAAGAGUUCCGUCAGCACGACGGCGUGGUGACGAUCUUGAUGUUCUACCGACGCAGGGCUUCGCCUAAGCACUACAACGAUAUGAUCGAGGUGGAAUAUGGUGGCAGGAGGCACCGCACACAGCUAAGGAACGAUCUCAAGGAUCAACUUGUGUAUCUAGAGGUGCCCCCCUGCCCCUGUAUAUAAAGGAGCCAAGGGGGAGGGGCUGGCUGGCCAAGGAGGGUGCGCCAGGAGAGUCCUACUCCCUCUGGGAGUAGGAUUCCCCCCCCCCCCCAAUCCUAGUUGGAAUAGGAUUCCUUAAGGGGGGGGGAAGAGAGAGAGGGGGGCCGGCCACCUCUCCUAGUCCUAAUAGGACUAGGGGAGGGGGGAGGCGCGCGGCCACCUUGGGCUGCCCCUUUCUUCUUUCCACUAAAGCCCACUAAGGCCCAUAUAGCUCCCGGGGGGUUCCGGUAACCUCCCGGUACUCCGGUAAAAUCCCGAUUUCAUCCGGAACACUUCCGAUAUCCAAACAUAGGCUUCCAAUAUAUCAAUCUUUAUGUCUCGACCAUUUUGAGACUCGUCGUCAUGUCCGUGAUCACAUCCGGGACUCCGAACUAACUUCGGUACAUCAAAAUGCAUAAACUCAUAAUAACUGUCAUCGUAACGUUAAGCGUGCGGACCCUACGGUUCAAGAAUAAUGUAGACAUGACUGAGACACAUCUCCGGUCAAUAACCAAUAGUGGGACCUGGAUGCCCAUAUUGGCUCCUACAUAUUCUACGAAGAUCUUUAUCGGUCAGACCGCAUAACAACAUGCGUUGUUCCCUUUGUCAUCGGUAUGUUACUUGCCCGAGAUUCGAUCGUCGGUAUCCAAUACCUAGUUCAAUCUCGUUACCGGCAAGUCUCUUUACUCGUUCUGUAAUACAUCAUCCCGCAACUAACUCAUUAGUUGCAAUGCUUGCAAGGCUUGUGUGAUGUGCAUUACCGAGAGGGCCCAGAGAUACCUCUCCGACAAUCGGAGUGACAAAUCCUAAUCUUGAAAUACGCCAACCCAACAUCUACCUUUGGAGACACCUGUAGAGCUUCUUUAUAAUCACCCAUUUACGUUGUGACGUUUGGUAGCACAGAAAGUAUUCCUCCGGCAAACGGGAGUUGCAUAAUCUCAUAGUCAUAGGAACAUGUAUAAUUCAUGAAGAAAGCAAUAGCAACAUACUAAACGAUCGGGUGCUAAGCUAAUGGAAUGGGUCAUGUCAAUCAGAUCAUUCAACUAAUGAUGUGACCUCGUUAAUCAAAUAACAACUCUUUGUUCAUGGUUAGCAAACAUAACCAUCUUUGAUUAACGAGCUAGUCAAGUAGAGGCAUACUAGUGACACUCUGUUUGUCUAUGUAUUCACACAUGUAUUAUGUUUCCGGUUAAUACAAUUCUAGCAUGAAUAAUAAACAUUUAUCAUGAUAUAAGGAAAUAAAUAAUAACUUUAUUAUUGCCUCUAGGGCAUAUUUCCUUCACUACAAUGGGAAACCGAGCGGGAAGGGGAGAGUCAGAUAGGAAAACCGAAGUUUUUGUCGUGGGAUGGGGGUUUUGUGUUGCGCCCUUGGGUUGGAGAUAACAAAUGGCGGAUAGUCCGGACAAUGACAUUUCUCCCCCACAUAUGAUCUGGAUUUCGGAAAGUCUGGACUGUCCAGACGGUUGAAUUUUGGGGAGCCCAUUGGGCACCGGACGUAUGAGGAAGAAAUGAGUUUCGAAUUUAAAGACGACUUUAAUCAUUUAUUUAAUUCAUUUAUGUGUGUUGUAGCCCGUAGCAACGCACGGGCAUUCUACUAGUAUAAGUUAUAACUCUGCUAUACUGCCAAUUUCUUGCAUGCUCAUAUGUAUGUUGUAUGGCAUUUAAUUUCUUUUGGUGGUCCUUUCCCUCUUUGAAUUGAAUGCCAACAUAGUAGAACAUGUACUGCAUAAGGUUCAGCAGGCUGGGUCUAACAAGGUAAAUCAUUAUUUCUCAUGCGGAAGUUUGCAGGAUUAUGCACACACAUUGUUUCGUUUCGUUGACCAUAGAACAUGAUUUGCUCUUUAUUUUCUCUCCUAUGCCUAAGGCUUUGAGCUCCUUCGAAAUCAUUACUAUAAUGAAAAGGAUGAGAAGUGAGUCCUUUAGACAUGGAACACACAUAAGUUCUUUGAAGAUCAUUUUAUUUGGGAUGUCAAUAACAGUUCUACCAAUUUGCAUCAAUUGUUUAUAUGCUAUACAAACCAUCACUUGGCCCUCUAUUGUCAUUAAUCAGAUGCACGGAAUUUGUGAAUAUAUAAAUAUUCUGGCUGAAGAUAGAACCAACUUGUGAUGGUUCCAUGUGGUACAUAUAACUGAAAUUGGUCAGAUGUUUCUAUAUUUCUUUCGUUAAGACAUCUUUUUUCCUUUGUUAAGAUGUGUCUAAGAUGGGCGGGCGCCGCAACGCGCGCCUUUAUGAUCUAGUACAGCGUGAUGGCGCUGGUGCGCAACUGUUGGUGCAGCACAUUCACCAUUAAUUAUAUUGUUUUUAACACAGUAUAAACGUAAGUGCUCAUAUAUUUAUACGCGCAUAUAUUCACCCCUUGUGAAUGCACGUACGCACACUCUAUCCCUAUGAGCACCUCUGAAAGACUGAGUUAGUAUAUUAUCUAAAUUUUACAAAGUCACCAUAGGCGCCUAUCCGGGAUAAAUGCAAGCAUCAUGACUUGAAUUCUGAUGGGCUGGGGAUAUCACUGUGCUCCUAACCAUUCAACCACAUAUUGGUUCACCGGGACUAAUCAUACCGGUGUAGCCAAGUCUUAUUUAAAAACUAUGGACCAAACUUCAUCCCAUAUAGUUGAACAACACUAGGGGUAGAAACGGAUCGGAUGCGGAUCGGAUAGUGCUCUUGCCACUUCCAUUUUCAUAUUUUCAAAACGAAUACGAAUUCGAAUACGGAUGUUAUCGGAUACGGAUGCGGCUCGGAUAUUAUUCAAAUACGGAUACGUAUCGGAUAUUUUCUUGAUUCGGAACGGAUACGAAUAAUAUCAACAUAUUGCUUAAGUAAAUCAGUCGAUAGCUAUGUGAACUGAAAUAAUCAACUUGUGACAUACAAUAAGUCAAUGAUAAAUAGGUUUAUGAAUAAAUACUAUUGUAAUGCAUAAUAAUUUAUAAGUUUAAUCAUAUAAAGAGUAAAAUUUGACCACUUAUUUGGCUUUUAUGUUGGAUAAUUGGAAUAUUGAGUCUAGAAAUUUGAAAAUUACCUCCCAUAAUCUUAUUCGGAUACGGAUAUAUCCACUUUCAUAUCCAUGUUUGUCUCAAAAUCUCCUACCAUAUUUUAUUUUUUAUUUGUUUAAUAAAUUCGGAUACGGAUAAUUUCCAUUUCCAUUUUGGUUCGGAUGCGGAUGUUUCGGAUACAAAUAGGCAUUUUCUCGAAUACGAAUAUCGGAUAUUUCGGAUUAUCCGCUAUCAAUUUCCACCCCUAAACAACACGCUGUUGCGGUCUGAUGUAGUUGCUACUCAUUUGUUUCUAAAGUAACUUGUAAUCAACUACUUCUUCCGUUUUGAAAUAGAUGACUCAACUUUAUACAAAGUUAGUAUAAAGUUGAGUCAUCUAUUUUGGAACGGAGGGAGUACUUCUGAUGAGAACAAAUCAAUAAAGUACCUUGUAAUCAAACUACUGAGAUAAUUUGUACCUUCUCUCCGUACCCAUGUAUAAUCAAGUAGCCUCUUAAUGUACUUUUCCUUUUUCUUCUUUGAAGCAAGUUUAUGAAGAAAAGAAUGAUGUAUUCUGAUCUCCAUGAAGCAACCAAUUAGCUCGUCCUCUCUAUAAAAACAAUUCUUCAUGAUACCGAAGAUUCUCAAUAUCUAGCCUAACAAAAAGAAGGUUAUCAAUAUUUGAAGAUCUUUUUUAUCCCUAAUCUCCCCGUCAGAUCACUUUGUCUCCAUUUCUGAAGGUCUUUUUUUAGCUUCGAUAUCCUCUUAUUUGGGCCUUUCAGAACCUCCAGAUCCCUCUGGUGUAGAUCUUUAUGAACAGCCUUGGUACAAUCAGGCAAGGGUGGCCUAGCUUGCUGGAUCCCAAGCCAAUUGGACUACCGCAUUGACGGUUUCUUCACACAACCAACGGGCUUCAAACUAUUUUCGGGCCUUCGAUUGUUGAGACAAAACAAAUUUUAAAAAAAUAUGAAGGAAAAUAGAUCAAUGGUCUGAAUGGACACGGUGCUCAUGAACCAACGCAUAUGGCAAUUUAUCCGCACACGCCUCAUUACUUGGUGAUGCCCUGGCUCCAGGUAAACUGAUCACCAAUAACAGUGGUCUGUUGAAGUCCACACAACCUCUGAAAUUAUGCAUCAAUUGUUGAGGUCGAACAUUACCACCCUCCUUCUCACUUGCAACCAAUCUCUCAUUAAAAUCACAGUAACUAACCAUGGACCAGCCGCAUUCCGUUGCGCGAGUAUGUCCAGGACAGGUGCUUCCUAUCCCAAGUUGGUUGUCCAUAAUAUCCUGUCAAGCGCCAUGAAGCAUCAUUUUCACCCAUAACAAUUGCAUCAAUAAAUUUUUCUAAAGAAUAGUUCAACACCACUUUAUUAGAUUGGUUAUAAAAAAGGACAAGGUUCCCCGAGCGACCAUCACUCUUUUUUUUUCAAGAAACUUCCAAUCUAUUUAUCGUCAAUCAUGGUGGUACAACAAACACCAGAAAUAAUAAAAAUUACAUCGAGAUAUGUAGACCACCUAGCGACGACUACAAGCACUGAAGCGAGCCGAAUGCGCGCAGUCGUCAUUGCCCCUCCCACACACGCAUACCUUACCACUAUGAGUACCUCCGACAAACUGAGGCGGCAUAUCAUCUUGAGAUGGACGAAGUCACCAAAGGCGUCUCGUAGUCGACGGGAACGUCUCCUCCCAUUAAACGCGCAUCGCAGAAAAUCCUGAAAUAAAUUCAGCAAUAAAUGUGAGCAAAAGGAUAUGAACUCUGGUGGACUGGGGAUACCACUGUCCACCUAACCAUUCAACCACAGAUUGGUAUUGCUAUGUACAAUUUGGGGUCAUGAUGACCGGAUAGCAGAUUGUGGAGCUUGUAUUUUUUUGUUUCUAUAAUAGCCGCAUGACCUGAAAGGUUUCUUUCCAUCCGGGGCAAUUAUCGUGUCAGUUAAUGGGGGGUGGGGGUGGAUAAACUGGUCACACGAUGCAUAGUUUUAACUUUCUACACCGUGAUAAAAUAAAAGGAAAUGAUUUUCUUCACCUGGCCUAUCCAUCGCGGGGCAUCCGCCGCCUCUAGUGUGCAGACGCGUGUCCUAUGUGGACCCUAUGCGUCGCUCUAUAUUUUUUCUUAUUCCCACCCAUGGUUGACCUUUGUUGAAGAAAAAGCUACAACAAGACCUCUGUUGCAAAAGUUUAUAUAUGCAGAAGACCUCUAUUUUUGCAAAAAAAAAAAGGAUUCUACAACAUGACCUAUGUUGCAAUGAUAGGCAAUAAAGAAAAAGAACAAAAGAUUAAACAAUUUGCAACAACUCUCUUGUUGCAGAAGGCAAAGCACAAUAAGGCUCAUGUUAGAUAGAUCGGAGGAAGAGAAAAAUGGUUUGAGGCUUUUUACGGUUAGUCCGUAGUUCGAAGCCUUUUGCAACAAAUCCUCUGUUGUAGAGAGACGGGUGCAACAACAUGCUUGUUGCAACUUCAUUUGCUCAUGUGAAGAAGAUGUAGUGACUUUCUUUGUCUUAGUCCGACGGCUAUGGAGGUGGACGAUCUUUUCCAUUGCUUAAACCGGCCAACACCUAGUGCAGCCCAUAAAAUAAUUCCCGGUGCCUUUCAAGCCUAUGCAACUCGUAUGGAACACACUUUCUACUCUCUUGAUGUAUGGAUUGUCUCAUCGUUUCUAGAGGAAAAUAAUUUGAAAUUGAGAGGCACGGAAGAGAUUGAUGUUUAUCAGUUGAGAAUUGAUGACAUGAAGGUGCCCCGCUGCCCACCGCAUUGCAUGGUUUUGUGUGGGCCCAUAAUAUUUCAGCACCUAUAAAUGAGCUCAGUUUGGGCAUCAUGACAUUUAUGUGUGUCAAACCACAUAUUUGUCGCGUCAUAGGCUCUCACCGAUUCCACGCCUCCCAACUAUAAACAUUCACGAAGAAUUAAAGCAUACAACCAGCCUACUAUAUCAAGUUGUGCUGAGAGCAGAGCAUCUCCAAUAACUGCCCUAUAAUAGGGCACCAAAAUUUGCUUGAAGUAAAAUUUGGGAUACAAAAAAGUGUUUUUAGGGCACGAGAAAGUGAGUGUCUCCAAAAGUUGCCCUAAAAUGGGGUAUUGAAUAGGGCACCAUUGCUCCAACAACUGCCAUAAAAAUAGGGCAACCGCACCACAUCUUUCUUCUCCACAUAUGGAUAGAAAUUAAACUUUGCAAGAUUUCCUUGAGUGUCUUCUCCACCAACAGCUGCUCACAAAAUUCAAUUACUGAACUUGAGUGUCUUCUCCACCAACAGCUGCUCAAAAAAUUCAACUACUAAAACCAAAUCUAACAGGAAGACCGACAAAAUCAAAGUAGAUACUAAAUUUGAGUGUCUUCUUUUAAUUUCUUUGUAUUGCACAGAACUACACACCAAAAUGGCAUGGGAUACAAUUUCAGCGAAUAACAAACGAAAUUGACAAGAAGUUCCUUUGUAACUUUCUUCAGUAAAAGGAACAGUGAAAGUCUGAACUUUCUGAAAACUAACACCUGCAUCUUGGCCUCUUACACUUUCGUCAGAAAAAGGAAAGCUGGAAACUGAACUUUACUAAUGAAUUACAUCGGGACUAGCAGCGGCGCAUUCAAGCAGCACCUCCACGACCCGUACAAACUCCAACAACCCAUUCUGCAGCACCACCACACAAACCACUAACUAGCCAUCAGGCUUUCAUUUAGCUUUGUACUCUCUCUGUAAACUAAUAUAAGAUUAUUUAGGUCACUAGAGGGAAUAUAUGAUAAAUGUGUUUGCUUUCGCAAAAAAAAAAAAUAUGAUAAAUGUGUUUGGAAGAGGGCUAACUUGCUUUAUUUGGAAUCGCCAAGGUGAAUCUAACUUCCUUUUUUCUUGGCAAAACAAAAUAACUGCACUAUCGUGCUACAAUCAGCAACAGAAUUGGUCACUACCCAUGCCAUGCAAUUCAGCUCAAUUCACUCUAUUAAAAAACUUCAAGUCAUAGCACGAGAAAUUUCCACUUUAAAGGAAUCGAAACAUCCUCACCACGCAACCCAGUAGAAAUGAAACAAUCCUACAUGCUCAACCCACAACAACGGAAGCUCCGAGCCGCACUAGCCCCGGGUCACCGCAAUUGCAUUUGAGAACUUAGCCAUGGCCUCGACAACAACAUUGAAGAAGGCGUCGGAGCCAAAGCCCUUUGUCUGGAUGUGCUAGCAAAGCUCCGCCACCACCCAUGGAGCUCGCUCAGCUUGGAUGGGUGGCCGGAGCCGAAUCUCGCAGGGAUAGAGAUCAAAUCGGACCUAGGGAAGAGGGGACGAGGUGAGGGGCGCUAGAGUUGGGGGAGGCAUCAACCGCAGUGAUGCUCGCAAGAGUAGAGGCAGGAAGGGCACGUGGGAAAACACCCGACCGACGAUUUUGCGACAGCGGCCCAAGUGUAGAGUUGGAUCAGCCGACGGUGAUUUGCAGGUGUAGAGGCAGGAAGGGUGCGUGGAAAACGCCCGACCGGCGGUUUUGCGACAGUACUUUAUGCUGUAUUUUUGGGCAGCGCUGGAAAUUUUGGAGCAAAUUUUACAUUAAGGGCAGGUAUUGGAGCAGUGUUUCUGGCCCCAAAUGCCCUAAAUACGUUAUGGGGAGAUUCUCUGAGUUGAUGGGGAGUUUAGGUGUUUACACACACUCCAAAUCACAAGUCUUACAACGGUUGUUUCAGGCCCUAAAUAAACACACAAAAUCUGUCAGGCAGAUUAACGUCUUACACCCACACAAACGGAAGCAAUUUGCUUGGCUUUACAUAUAUCCAAGGUAACAUUUCUAGAUCUGUUGGAGAAGCUCGUAUACAUUGGGUGCAUGUUGCAUGGAGAAGCUCAUACAAGUUAAAUGUGCAUGCUGAAUUUGGUAUCCAAGUCGAUCAGCUCAGGUACAAUGAGGAAUAUUACUUAGUUCCACAGUAUCUCUAACAAUGGUUGGAGAAGCUACACAUUUAAAUCUCAGACAUGCAUGUAUUUCGGAACGGAGGCAGUAGUUUUUUACAGAAUGUGACAUUUGGAACUAUAGACUGUUCUUUUCAACUACUCAGAAGGCUAACUAAAAUUUCAGAAACAUUUAUGAGAAAGAAAUAGAACAGCAUCACAUCAAAAAAAAAAGAUGGACGCAGGGCAGAAUUACAUAUAUCAAGAGUACUGCAAAAUUAAUAGCUGCAUAAAAUUCAGUCACAAACACAUAUAAUCCCACAUUACAUAAAACUCAGUCUUGGAACAAAACCAGACUAGCAUUAAACAGCUAAAUUGGACAGAACACAGGUAAGACAGCUUCCACAGCCAUAGCAGCAAACACGCCAGGAAUCACUAGACCAUGCCGUCCUCCCUCGAUGCCUGGCAGCCUGGAUGUAGGAUGAUGCUUCCCCUGCUCCAAGGCGCCUACUUGGAUCGCUGCCUCAUCUUUCGGCGCUUCCUCUUGAGCCUCCUCAUCCUCUUCUUCUUCCACUGCAAAUUUAAGUAACCGCACAGUUCAUCAGCACAAAUUGCGUAGUACUACUCUAGUAGAUGCAUGGCCAAAUAACAAGAAAGUACAAUUUGUUUUGGAAUCAGAAGAUUUGAGUGUUUCAUUGGAUAUCAUCACGUGAUUUUCAGAAACACGGACCAAUUGUUCUUCAUCAUUUCCCAAAGACUGACAAUGUUGAAAAGGCAAAUAGGAAACAACCAAACUAAGAUAUCUAAAGAACUAGCUAAGCAAAGUAGAGAUCUGCAGUCGGUUUGACAUUCAGAAUGAGUAGGAGGAUUUUAUCAUCAAAUGGAUCAGACGCCAAUAGUCAUCCUCAUCAUGCCAACCGACGCAAUUGAACGAAAGAAAGAACAAAUCUAGAAAGAAACACUGGCAAAGAAAACACUAUUCUCUCAGACAAAUGCCUCGAUUGUCCACAUGGUUUUAUAGAAUGGAUUACAUCGGACUCGUCAUAUGUUUUCAUCAUCACAGAGAACUAUAAACAAACAUGCGCAAAAAAUAUCAACUCAGUCAACAGAAACUACAUCCUAGAAUCUCUGAGAACAGGCAAAUCGAACUAUAAUAGCAGGUUCUCUCAGACAAAUUUGCCUCAUUUUUGUCCCCACGGUUGAAUGGAAUGGAUUGGAUCGGACAUCUAAUCAGUGUUGAUCAUCACAGAGAACCACUAAUUACGACAUCGAGCAACAGCAACAGCAGGAACGAAAGCUCGAUAAACACUAGCACAUGCCCAGAUCUACCGCGGUCGCGAAGCAGCUAAUAGGAGAGAAGGUAGACGAAGGGCAGUACGAACCUUGGCCCUCAUCGCGGCGGCGGAGUCGGCCUCGCUCUCCUUUUCGCGGCGGCGGCGGCGGAAGGGUGUGGACGAUCCCGAUCUCCGUAGAUUGUUGGCGGCGGGGGCUCUGGACUCGUACUUUAUAGGGGUGGGGUGCUGGGAAGGGGGGAAACCCUAGCGGGUGGACGGCUCGGAUCAGCCGCUGAGCGGCGUUCUGAUCCGAUUUGGUCGGUCUCUGGUUCGCAGCCCUAAUGGGCCUUCAAACCAACGUCUCGGCCCACGGUCACAUCUAAGAUGAUGGGCUUCCCUUCACCUGUUCUUAAACUGGGCCUCCUCCUCGCUUGCUUGACUCGGCCUGAUCGGUUCUGCUAAAAAGAAACAAGAAUUUCUCAUCUCAGAACUAAAAAACAAGAUGUUCUCCAUGUGUUGAUGAGGAGCUAGUUGAACGACUUGCAGGAUGCAGAUCAUGUAUCAUGUUCCACCACUGGCAAGGUUUUUAGGAGACCGCUUGUCGCACUUCAUGAGAAGAUCUUUCAGAGAGUGAAACAGGGGAGGCAAGCAUGCACUGGAGGGAAGCUCUUUUUGGAGCUAGAUGAAUAGCAACUUGCCGACUUCAACAGCUCGUUUAUACACACGUCAUGGAGACAAAAGAAUUGAUGAAAAUGCACAAACAUGACGGUAAUAACUUCAAAAAGAUGAUCACAGCUGCGCACCUCAGAAUUCAUAAAUCGCAUAAGAUUAACUCGGACAAACAACAACUACCACGAACCGAGCACUCCCCUCGGUCGCUCCCGCGGGCGACCAG